GACAGAGGGUGCAACCGUUGCUCGGAAUUACUGGGCGUAAAGCGUGCGCAGGCGGCUUUGCAAGACAGAUGUGAAAUCCCCGGGCUCAACCUGGGAACUGCAUUUGUGACUGCAUGGCUAGAGUGCGGCAGAGGGGGAUGGAAUUCCGCGUGUAGCAGUGAAAUGCGUAGAUAUGCGGAGGAACACCGAUGGCGAAGGCAGGUCUCUGGGCUGAAACUGACGCUCAUGCACGAAAGCGUGGGGAGCAAACAGG
rnacentral:rRNA from 1 species